UACAGAGGUCCCGAGCGUUGUUCGGAUUCAUUGGGCGUAAAGGGUGCGUAGGCGGUGGGGUAAGUUGGAUGUGAAAUCUUGGGGCUUAACCUCAAAAUUGCAUUCAAUACUGCUCCGCUCGAGUUCUGUAGAGGAGAUUGGAAUUUACGGUGUAGCAGUGAAAUGCGUAGAUAUCGUAAGGAACGCCAGUGGCGAAAGCGAAUCUCUGGACAGUUACUGACACU
rnacentral:rRNA from 1 species